CCGGGCGCCGCGGAUCCCGGGGCCGAGAGACCGGCGGGGAAUCUCUCGACUGUGAGUAAGAAACUUCUUGAGCGAGUAGGUGUGUCCGAGUCCGUCGAGCACAGCGACGGAGAACUUGUGUGUAUGAGUGAGAGGGCUGCGCUGCCGGUGUGGGUGCCCAGGGAGAGAAGCCGAGGAGCCGCGAAGACCCCCAGUUCUCGAGCGGGGAGGGACUUGAUGUGAGAGGCGCAGCCCGCGUCCCGGUCCCGGAGCCCAGCCGGGAGGGGCUUUCCGGGCCUGCCACGUCAGCGCUGCAACGACGGCCUCCGCGACGCUCCGGUGGAGGGAUCCGUCCCGACUCGGCGUCGGCCGCUCUCUGCGACUUGACUUCUCCGGGCAGCGGGGGAGUCGGGGCUGGCGAUGUCAGGACCUGUCAUUUACUCCAUCCUUUAUAGUGAUGCUACAGGACAGAGAGGAAUGGAUAAAAAUAUUGGUGAGCAACUCAAUAAAGCUUAUGAAGCCUUUCGUCAAGCAUGCAUGGAUAGAGAUUCUGCAGUAAAAGAACUACAGCAAAAGCAGACUGAGAACUAUGAGCAGAGAAUACGUGAGCAACAGGAACAGCUGUCACUUCAACAAACUAUUAUUGACAAACUAAAAUCCCAGUUACUUCUCGUGAAUUCCAGUCAAGAUAACAGCUACAACUAUGUUUCCCUACUUGAAGACAGUGAAGCAAGGAAGAAUAAUUUGACUCUUGAUCAGCCACAUGAUAAAGUAAAACCUGGAAUACCAAGAGAAAAAGAAUCAAAGGUAAGAAGACAAGAGGUUUUCUCUCCUAGAAAAGAAACUUCACCAAGGAGUCUUGGCAUUCCUUUAUUCCAUGAAAGGGGUUAUAUAGAGAAGACUUUCCGUGAUCUGAAAGAAGAAUUUCAUAGAAUAUGCAUGCUAGCAAAAGCUCAAAAAGACCACUUAAGUAAACUUAAUGUACCAGCCACUGCAACUGAAACGCAAUGCUCUGUGCCUGUACAGUGUACGGAUAAAACAGAUAAACAAGAAGCGCUGUUUAAGCCUCAGGCUGAAGAUGAUAUAAAUAGAGGUGCACCAUGCAUCACAUCUGUCACACCAAGAGGGCUGGGCCGAGAUGAGGAAGACAACAACUCUUUUGAAUCACUUUCUAAAUUCAAUGUCAAGUUUCCACCUAUGGACAGUGACUCUGCUUUCUUACAUAGCACUCCAGAAAGACCCAACAUCCUUGGUCCUGCCCCAUCUGAGACAGCAUGCCAGGAUAAAUUUAAUAUGGAGCUCAGAGACAACCCGGGAAACUUUGCUAAAGCAGAAGAAACUUUGUUUGAAAUUCAGGGAAUUGACCCCAUAGUUCCAGCUGUACAAAGCCUUAAGAUAACUGACAAAACAAAACCCUCCAAUCUUGUAAACACUUGUAUCAGGACAACUCUGGAUAGAGCUCCGUGUUUGCCGCCUAGAGACCAUAAUGCACUGUAUGUAAAUACAUUCCCACUUCAGGACCCAUCUGAUGCACCUUUUCCUUCACUUGAUUCCCCAGGAAAAGCUAUCCGAGGACCACAGCAGCCUGUUUGGAAACCCUUUCCUAAUCAAGACAGUGACUUAUCAUCGGUACUAAGUGGCACAGACUCCGAACUGCAUAUACCUCGAGUAUGUGAAUUCUGUCAAGCAGUUUUCCCACCAUCCAUUACAUCCAGGGGGGAUUUCCUCCGGCAUCUUAAUUCACACUUUAAUGGAGAGACUUAAGAUGCAUUUGAAAACAGUAAUGUGAUCAUCAAGUUCUAUGUGAUGAUUUUGGAUCUGUAAUGCCAUAAAUACUUGAUUGCAAAUUUAGUUCGGGAUCAUUUAUUGGAAAAUAGCUGUGUCACAGCUCUUAGGAUUUUUUUCUAAACUAUAUUGUAACUUUCUUUCAUUGUCUUUUACAAGGUCAUUCUGUAAUGCAUUCAUGUUGUACAGUGUUUACUAUAAUUUAUGUUUGUUUCAAGUAUCUAAGUUUAUUGCUUGGAUUUCUAGUUAGAUCUGUUGAAUUUGGUGAUAUCAAAUGUUUAUUGGGUUUAUCACUUAAAAAUUUAGCUUAUUUAUGCUAUAGGUAUGAUUCUUUUUAAAUAAGCCUACAGUGGAAAGUAGCAGACAACAUAAAUGUCUAAUACCAAACCUAAGACAUUUGUCACCCAGUGAUAAAAAUCACUGACAGGAUUAUUUAAACACUUUAGAUUGUUUUUUAAGUAAUACCCAUGGUUUUAAUUUUUACUAUGUAGAUAGCUACAGGAUGAAAUGAGUUAAAUAUUAAGAGGUACUUAUGUUGUGAUCAUUAAUUCGUUCUUUGUUCCUGAGUAAAAAAAGAAUAAAGGGAAUAAAUCACAUUUUUGGGAAGUCUAUAAAAUUCAUGUUUUUUUUCCCCCAGUAACCUGUUAGAAAGGUGAUACCAGAUCUGGUAACAUUUAAUCACAACUAGUAAGUCACUUUGAACUUUUAAAAUUAUUUUCCAUACUAACCUUUCUAAAGAAGUAUUUCUGUUUAAUGGAAGCAAAUCUAAAACUCUGUAAGGACUAUCCAUAUUCACUAAUUUAUUUUAGAAAUGUGCACUUCCUUGUUGAGAAAUUGGUUAUUCAUUGUUAGCUGCCUGAUUGAUGGCCCUGGAAGACAUUUAAGAAAGAGAACACUUAACUCAGAAGGGUGCAAAAUGUUUAAAUUGAGACUUUCCUUUUUAUUUUUCUUCCCUAAGGUUCUUUUCUUUUAGGUUUCUCUUUCCUCCCAACUUUUAAAAAUGUUUGAGGUGUGGCUUCCAUUUUAUAAAGUAAACAUUGAUUUGCAAGUCUCAAAACAAAUUUAAGCCUUCUCUGGAGCAUGUGUCUUUAAAAGCUGGAGGGUUUGGGAUGGGGAAAUUUGAGCAGGCCCCUGUGACAUAGUGAAGGGCCUUAACUUGUGGAAGAAUGAGGGUGGUGCCUCUGCUUCUCAGGGUGCCAAGCACAUCAUAUUGACAUAUUCCUCACCAAGGUGACAUAGUGAUUAUUAGGUAUUCACUGUGAAGGUUUCUGAGGCAUGUACAUCUUUCUUUCAUUGCCACUGGGGCUGAAUGGAAAUGCCUAGACAAUUAUCCAAGUCUCUUCCCUUCCCCCUACCUUCCACCCAUCCAGCCGCCCCCUCACUCCUCCCACACACACAAAAUUAAAAAUAAAAACUUUCCAGCAUGUACUAGCCAGAAUAUACCACUGUACCUAUCUCAUGAAAGGGGAUUCAUUUUCCUUUUCUAGAAGACGAAGGGUCCCUCACACAGUUGACAUCUACUGGCCUGCUGACAAGCAAAGGAAAUUAGAGCCCGGAAAGUGACUCAGAUCCAAGUGUAUCACUGACCCCUCCAGUCCACCCUUUCCCCACGUGACUCCACCACUUUUAGUAAGAGCGGGAAACUCUUGUUUUCUUUUGGGUUCCAGUGCCGCCCGAAGCUCCAGCUUCCGAAGGCCAAAGGCCCUCUUGGGCCCCGACAGGCACCUGGAGAGCCGGCCCCAGUCCCGCCCUGCAGAGGUGGCGCUGGCUCCAGCCGGAAAGGUGGAGUGGGCACCGCCAGGGCUCUCCCGCUGUCGUUUAUUACUGAGUCGUGCAGGGGCUGCAUCUUGGCAUCUGCUGAGCGUGGCCGGGUUAACUACGUCAGGAUGAGUGUGUUCCACUUCAGCUGCUUUAGGUUCUGAAGAAUGGAGCUUCCACUACUUUCCUGGGAAGACAGUUCUCCAGUGUGGACCCUCUAAUUGUUUAAG